rnacentral:rRNA from 1 species
AUACAUGCAGUCGAGCGAACAGAUGAGAAGCUUGCUUCUCUGAUGUUAGCGGCGGACGGGUGAGUAACACGUGGGUAACCUACCUAUAAGACUGGGAUAACUCCGGGAAACCGGGGCUAAUACCGGAUAAUAUUUUGAACCGCAUGGUUCAAUAGUGAAAGACGGUUUCGGCUGUCACUUAUAGAUGGACCCGCGCCGUAUUAGCUAGUUGGUAAGGUAAUGGCUUACCAAGGCGACGAUACGUAGCCGACCUGAGAGGGUGAUCGGCCACACUGGAACUGAGACACGGUCCAGACUCCUACGGGAGGCAGCAGUAGGGAAUCUUCCGCAAUGGGCGAAAGCCUGACGGAGCAACGCCGCGUGAGUGAUGAAGGUCUUCGGAUCGUAAAACUCUGUUGUUAGGGAAGAACAAAUUUGUUAGUAACUGAACAAGUCUUGACGGUACCUAACCAGAAAGCCACGGCUAACUACGUGCCAGCAGCCGCGGUAAUACGUAGGUGGCAAGCGUUAUCCGGAAUUAUUGGGCGUAAAGCGCGCGUAGGCGGUUUCUUAAGUCUGAUGUGAAAGCCCACGGCUCAACCGUGGAGGGUCAUUGGAAACUGGGAAACUUGAGUGCAGAAGAGGAGAGUGGAAUUCCAUGUGUAGCGGUGAAAUGCGCAGAGAUAUGGAGGAACACCAGUGGCGAAGGCGGCUCUCUGGUCUGUAACUGACGCUGAUGUGCGAAAGCGUGGGGAUCAAACAGGAUUAGAUACCCUGGUAGUCCACGCCGUAAACGAUGAGUGCUAAGUGUUAGGGGGUUUCCGCCCCUUAGUGCUGCAGCUAACGCAUUAAGCACUCCGCCUGGGGAGUACGACCGCAAGGUUGAAACUCAAAGGAAUUGACGGGGACCCGCACAAGCGGUGGAGCAUGUGGUUUAAUUCGAAGCAACGCGAAGAACCUUACCAAAUCUUGACAUCCUUUGACCGCUCUAGAGAUAGAGUCUUCCCCUUCGGGGGACAAAGUGACAGGUGGUGCAUGGUUGUCGUCAGCUCGUGUCGUGAGAUGUUGGGUUAAGUCCCGCAACGAGCGCAACCCUUAAGCUUAGUUGCCAUCAUUAAGUUGGGCACUCUAGGUUGACUGCCGGUGACAAACCGGAGGAAGGUGGGGAUGACGUCAAAUCAUCAUGCCCCUUAUGAUUUGGGCUACACACGUGCUACAAUGGAUAAUACAAAGGGCAGCGAAUCCGCGAGGCCAAGCAAAUCCCAUAAAAUUAUUCUCAGUUCGGAUUGUAGUCUGCAACUCGACUACAUGAAGCUGGAAUCGCUAGUAAUCGUAGAUCAGCAUGCUACGGUGAAUACGUUCCCGGGUCUUGUACACACCGCCCGUCACACCACGAGAGUUUGUAACACCCGAAGCCGGUGGAGUAACCUUUUAGGAGCUAGCCGUCGAAG